rnacentral:misc_RNA from 1 species
GAUGAAGAACGUAGCGAAAUGCGAUACUUGGUGUGAAUUGCAGAAUCCCGUGAACCAUCGAGUCUUUGAACGCAAGUUGCGCCCGAAGCCAUUAGGCCGAGGGCACGCCUGCCUGGGCGUCACACGUCGUUGCCCCCCCAUCUACUCCUUCGGGAUUGCGGGGGGCGGAUGAUGGCCUCUCGUGCGCCUCGUCGCGCGGUUGGCCCAAAUGCCAAGUCCUCGGCGACGCACGCCACGACAAUCGGUGGUUGCGAAACCUCGGUUGCCUGUCGUGUGCGGUCGUCGCGCAUCGAGGGCUCGAAAAAAUUGCCGGGCUUCGGCUCGACUUUCAACGCGACCCCAGGUCAGGCGGGGUUACCCGCUGAAUUUAAGCAUAUCAAUAAGCGGAGGA